GAUGAGCGCUAGCGGCAGGCUUAAUACAUGCAAGUCGAGGGGCAGCAUGAGUAGCAAUACUUGAUGGCGACCGGCAAACGGGUGCGGAACACGUACACAACCUUCCUUUCAGCGGGGAAUAGCCCAGAGAAAUUUGGAUUAAUACCCCAUAGAAUAUUGAAGAGGCAUCUCUUUAUUAUUAAAGAUUUAUCACUGAAAGAUGGGUGUGCGGCUGAUUAGAUAGUUGGCGGGGUAACGGCCCACCAAGUCUACGAUCAGUAGCUGAUGUGAGAGCAUGAUCAGCCACACGGGCACUGAGAAACGGGCCCGACUCCUACGGGAGGCAGCAGUAAGGAAUAUUGGUCAAUGGACGAAAGUCUGAACCAGCCAUGCCGCGUGAAGGAUGAAGGUCCUCUGGAUUGUAAACUUCUUUUAUAUGGGACGAAAAAAGGUCAUUCUUGAUCACUUGACGGUACCAUUUGAAUAAGCACCGGCUAACUCCGUGCCAGCAGCCGCGGUAACAC
rnacentral:rRNA from 1 species